AUGGAGUGCCGGCUCGCUCUCGCCAAGGCGAAGGACGCCUACAACCUGGACACGCCUGCCCCGGCGGCGACAGAAGGGCGCCCUGAUGGCAACAAACCAGCCAAGGCGGCGAGGGGCGCGGUACCCACUGCCGAACGGCUGCAAUCGUCGAUCGAGCAGCAUCGCCGACGCCAAGAGCAACGCCGCCAAGGGGGAGGAGAAAUCCGAUGCGAGGUGGUCGGUGUUGAUGAGGAAGCAGGACGUCAAGCUCGACCUUCUCAGGACCAACAUCGUCGCGAAGAAGAGGAACACCGACCUGACGUUCUUGAUGGGGACAGACACGUCGAUGAUGGACGAGCAGGUGAAGCCGUGGUACCUGGCGGACACGGCCUUAUCUUGAACCAGAUGUCGGGACCAACGGCGACCGCCGCCCCUACGCCCACGCCGACGCCGAGCCCGAACACUGAAACUGCGCCCACGCCGACGCCGACCUCAGCCAGCCCUGUGGCAGAGGAGCCUGCCGCUUGA
rnacentral:rRNA from 1 species